rnacentral:rRNA from 1 species
ACGGGUGCUUGCACCUGGUGGCGAGUGGCGAACGGGUGAGUAAUACAUCGGAACAUGUCCUGUAGUGGGGGAUAGCCCGGCGAAAGCCGGAUUAAUACCGCAUACGAUCUACGGAUGAAGGCGGGGGACCUUCGGGCCUCGCGCUAUAGGGUUGGCCGAUGGUUGAUUAGCUAGUUGGUGGGGUAAAGGCCUACCAAGGCGACGAUCAGUAGCUGGUCUGAGAGGACGACCAGCCACACUGGGACUGAGACACGGCCCAGACUCCUACGGGAGGCAGCAGUGGGGAAUUUUGGACAAUGGGCGAAAGCCUGAUCCAGCAAUGCCGCGUGUGUGAAGAAGGCCUUCGGGUUGUAAAGCACUUUUGUCCGGAAAGAAAUCCUUGGUUCUAAUAUAGCCGGGGGAUGACGGUACCGGAAGAAUAAGCACCGGCUAACUACGUGCCAGCAGCCGCGGUAAUACGUAGGGUGCGAGCGUUAAUCGGAAUUACUGGGCGUAAAGCGUGCGCAGGCGGUUUGCUAAGACCGAUGUGAAAUCCCCGGGCUCAACUGGGAAUGCAUUGGUGAUGGAGGUAGAGUAUGGCAGAGGGGGGUAGAAUUCCACGUGUAGCAGUGAAAUGCGU